UACGUAGGGUGCGAGCGUUGUCCGGAAUUACUGGGCGUAAAGAGCUCGUAGGUGGUUUGUCGCGUUGUUCGUGAAAAACCGGGGGCUUAACCCUCGGCGUGCGGGCGAUACGGGGCAGACUGGAGUACUGCAGGGGAGACUGGAAUUCCUGGUGUAGCGGUGGAAUGCGCAGAUAUCAGGAGGAACACCGGUGGCGAAGGCGGGGUCUCUGGGCAGUAACUGACGCUGAUGCGCGACAGCGUGGGGGAGCAAACAGG
rnacentral:rRNA from 1 species